AUUGAACGCUGGCGGCAGGCUUAACACAUGCAAGUCGAGCGAGCGGCGGACGGGUGAGUAAUGUCUGGGAAACUGCCUGAUGGAGGGGGAUAACUACUGGAAACGGUAUCUAAUACCGCAUACCAUCAGAUGUGCCCAGAUGGGAUUAGCUAGUAGGUGGGGUAAUGGCUCACCUAGGCGACGAUCCCUAGCUGGUAUGAGAGGAUGACCAGCCACACUGGACCUGAGACAAGGUCCAGACUCCUACGGGAGGCGGCAGUGGGGAAUAUUGAACAAUGGGCGCAAGCCUGAUGCAGCCAUGCCGCGGGUGUGAAGAAGGCCUUAGAGUUGUAAAGCACUGUCAGCGAGGAGGCGUUACUCGCAGAAGAAGCACCGGCUAACUCCGUGACAGCAGCCGCGGUAAUAC
rnacentral:rRNA from 1 species